CAAAAACAUGUCCUUUUGAAUUUAAUUGAAGGUCUGACCUGCCCAGUGAUUUAUUUUAACGGCCGCGGUAUAUUGACCGUGCAAAGGUAGCAUAAUCAUUAGUCUUUUAAUAGAGGGCUGGAAUGAAAGGUUUGACGAGGAACUGCCUGUCUCAUUUUAUUUGUUUUAAAAUUUAAUUUUUUAGUCAAAAAGCUAAAAUAAUAUUGGAAGACGAGAAGACCCUAUAGAUCUUUAUACAUGUAAUUUAAUUAUUUUUAUAUUAAUAUUUUUAUGUUUGUGUUGUAUUUUGUUGGGGUGACAAGAAUAAUAAUUAACUUUUUUAUUUAUUUUACAUUGAUUUAUGAAUAUUAGAUCCAUUUUUAUUGAUUAUUAGAUUAAGUUACCUUAGGGAUAACAGCGUAAUCCUCCUCCAGAGUUCAUAUUUACAGGAUGGGCUNGCGACCCCGAUGNGGAUAAGA
rnacentral:rRNA from 1 species